UACAGAGGGUGCGAGCGUUGUCCGGAAUCACUGGGCGUAAAGCGUAUGCAGGCGGAUCGUUAAGUCGGGGGUGAAAUCCCGAGGCUCAACCUCGGAACUGCCUUCGAUACUGGCGAUCUUGAGUCCGGGAGAGGUGAGUGGAACUCCGAGUGUAGAGGUGAAAUUCGUAGAUAUUCGGAAGAACACCAGUGGCGAAGGCGGCUCACUGGCCCGGUACUGACGCUGAGAUACGAAAGCGUGGGGAGCAAACAGG
rnacentral:rRNA from 1 species